AUGAAGGUGAGUAACACCUUAUUAAAAAUGUACCUUACAGAAAAGGAUUUUGGUUGCAAGAAGAAUGACAAGGAUAACGUGGGUAUUGCAGGGGCCACAAGCGAGGUGGCGACCCUGAAGGAGGCGGUGUCCGCGGCCGAACGUAAUGCAGCCGUGGAACACACCGAGCGAGAGAGGCAGGAGGCGCGGGUGGCGGAGGUACGGCAAGAGCUCCAGGCUCUCGUGGAAAAACACGAGAGUUUGGAGCGUGACUCGAAGACUCGAGAGUCUGAGCUUGCAACGGCUCUUGAGGGUGCCAAAGCCGCUAAGGCAGAAGCCUAUAAGGCCCUCCAGGAAGUCGAGGCGUUGAAGAAAAUAGCGGCGGGUAAGGCAUUUUUCAUGGAAAGUAAGCAUGUGAGUGUGAAUUACCUAUCGCUUACCUGA
rnacentral:rRNA from 1 species